CCUACGGGGGGCAGCAGUGGGGAAUAUUGCACAAUGGGCGCAAGCCUGAUGCAGCCAUGCCGCGUGUGUGAAGAAGGCCUUCGGGUUGUAAAGCACUUUCAGCGGGGAGGAAGGCGUUAAGGUUAAUAACCUUGGCGAUUGACGUUACCCGCAGAAGAAGCACCGGCUAACUCCGUGCCAGCAGCCGCGGUAAUACGGAGGGUGCAAGCGUUAAUCGGAAUUACUGGGCGUAAAGCGCACGCAGGCGGUCUGUCAAGUCGGAUGUGAAAUCCCCGGGCUCAACCUGGGAACUGCAUUCGAAACUGGCAGGCUAGAGUCUUGUAGAGGGGGGUAGAAUUCCAGGUGUAGCGGUGAAAUGCGUAGAGAUCUGGAGGAAUACCGGUGGCGAAGGCGGCCCCCUGGACAAAGACUGACGCUCAGGUGCGAAAGCGUGGGCAGCAAACAGGAUUAGAUACCCGGGUAGUC
rnacentral:rRNA from 1 species